GACGAACGCUGGCGGCGUGCUUAACACAUGCAAGUCGAACGGAAAGGCCAUGCUUUUGUGUGUUGCUCGAGUGGCGAACGGGUGAGUAACACGUGAGUAACCUGCCCUUGACUUUGGGAUAACUUCAGGAAACUGGGGCUAAUACCGGAUAGGAGCUCCUGCUGCAUGGUGGGGGUUGGAAAGUUUCGGCGGUUGGGGAUGGACUCGCGGCUUAUCAGCUUGUUGGUGGGGUAGUGGCUUACCAAGGCUUUGACGGGUAGCCGGCCUGAGAGGGUGACCGGCCACAUUGGGACUGAGAUACGGCCCAGACUCCUACGGGAGGCAGCAGUGGGGAAUAUUGCACAAUGGGCGGAAGCCUGAUGCAGCAACGCCGCGUGCGGGAUGACGGCCUUCGGGUUGUAAACCGUACUCCCAUGUGACCACUCGUGCCCUACGCGACGGGGUAAAGAAGUACAGUCUAACCCUGGC
rnacentral:rRNA from 1 species